UGGGCAACCUGCCCUCAGCUCUGGGAUAACUCCGGGAAACCGGGGCUAAUACCGGAUACGACCUUCCCUCGCAUGGGGGUUGGUGGAAAGUUCUUCGGCUGAGGAUGGGCCCGCGGCCUAUCAGCUUGUUGGUGGGGUGAUGGCCUACCAAGGCGACGACGGGUAGCUGGUCUGAGAGGAUGGCCAGCCACAUUGGGACUGCGACACGGCCCAGACUCCUACGGGAGGCA
rnacentral:rRNA from 1 species